CGUUAUGUUCCGUUGCCUCGGCGCCAAAGCCCAAAGGAAGUUUUACAGAAUCCAGUCAGAUUGAAGCAAGACGCCAGAGCCGGAGUUUUGUACAUCCAUUUGCACAGUACUGUACAACAAGUUUCCUUUGCUGAGUUCCUUGGUCAGGGGUUAAACACAUUUUCUGUCCAGUACUGCAGUUGGAAUUUUCCAUCAACAUUUUUAUGGUGGCGCAGUGGGAAGCGCUCUCACCUCACAGCAAGAAGAUCGGUAGUUCGAUUCUCGACUGGAUCUGUUGGCAUUUCUGUGUGGAGUCUGCAUGUUCUCCCAGCGUUCGCAUGGGUUUCCUCCGGGUGCUCCGGUUUCCCCCACAAGUCCAAAGACAUGCGGUAUAGGGGAAUUGGACAGCCGAUGUCCAUGUCAAAAGCGCGUCUAUUCUUUAAGCUCUCUUUACUUACCUUGGUGAGGAUGAGGCAUGCCUGGUGAAAGAAUACAUGGGCAACCAAAAAGAAGAAUUUUUGAAGGACCUGACAAACACCACCAUGGCCAUAUGUGUCAUCAAAAAGGAAAGAGGAGAUUAUGAGGACAUUGGCAUCGUUGUGGAUGGAACAGUGAUUAUUGAACAGAUAAAAUCUGUUGCACAAGCCUGUGCACUGAUGUUGGGGGCAAUUUAUGUGCUUGAUUUGGCCUACCCAAAAGAACUCAAAUACUAUUUGAAGUUUGCCCAAAAAGUACUUGUGCAAAUGAACUCUGACAAGCUCUCCUCAAAG